rnacentral:rRNA from 1 species
GACGAACGCUGGCGGCGUGCUUAACACAUGCAAGUCGAACGAUGAAGCUGGAGCUUGCUCCGGUGGAUUAGUGGCGAACGGGUGAGUAACACGUGAGCAAUCUGCCCUUGACUCUGGGAUAACUGCGGGAAACUGUAGCUAAUACCGGAUACUUUCACUGGAAGGCAUCUUCUGGUGAAGAAAGAAUUUCGGUCAAGGAUGAGCUCGCGGCCUAUCAGCUUGUUGGUGAGGUAACGGCUCACCAAGGCGACGACGGGUAGCCGGCCUGAGAGGGUGACCGGCCCCGCUGGGACUGAGACACGGCCCAGACUCCUACGGGAGGCAGCAGUGGGGAAUAUUGCACAAUGGGCGCAAGCCUGAUGCAGCAACGCCGCGUGAGGGAUGAAGGCCUUCGGGUUGUAAACCUCUUUUAGCAGGGAAGAAGCGAAAGUGACGGUACCUGCAGAAAAAGCACCGGCUAACUACGUGCCAGCAGCCGCCGUAA